rnacentral:rRNA from 1 species
UACGUAGGGAGCGAGCGUUAUCCGGAAUUAUUGGGCGUAAAGCGUGCGUAGGCGGCGUGUUAAGUCGAAUGUGAAAUCCCACAGCUCAACUGUGGAGGGUCAUUCGAAACUGGCAUGCUAGAGUAUGGCAGAGGUUAGUGGAAUUCAAUGUGUAGCGGUAAAAUGCGUAGAUAUAUUGAGGAACACCAGUGGCGAAGGCGGCUAACUGGACCAGAACUGACGCUGAGGCACGAAAGCGUGGGGAGCGAAAGGG